UACGUAGGCAGCAAGCGUUGUUCGGAAUUACUGGGCGUAAAGAGUGUGUAGGCGGUGCUCUAAGUUCGGUGUGAAAUCUCCCGGCUCAACUGGGAGGGUGCGCCGAAAACUGGAGUGCUGGAGCGCGGGAGAGGGAAAGCGGAAGUUCCUGGUGUAGCGGUGAAAUGCGUAGAUAUCAGGAGGAACACCGGCGGUGUAGACGGCUUUCUGGACCGUA
rnacentral:rRNA from 1 species